CAACAAUAGGGGUGCUGGAAAGAAUAAAUACGUUUAUUUUCUCUGUUUCAUCCUGGUGAAAAGUGGGCUGGAGAGUGGCACUGAUUCUUGUUCCCUUUCUUGGAAGAGUGUGUUUUCCUAACCUUCCAGGGAAAAUUCAGUACAGACGCAUGUAUAUGGCUUCUAUCGAAGAUACAUAAUUGGGAAGAGAAGAGCAC
rnacentral:lncRNA from 1 species